rnacentral:rRNA from 1 species
GAUGAACGCUGGCGGCGUGCCUAAUACAUGCAAGUCGAGCGAACAGACGAGGAGCUUGCUCCUCUGACGUUAGCGGCGGACGGGUGAGUAACACGUGGAUAACCUACCUAUAAGACUGGGAUAACUUCGGGAAACCGGAGCUAAUACCGGAUAAUAUAUUGAACCGCAUGGUUCAAUAGUGAAAGACGGUAUUGCUGUCACUUAUAGAUGGAUCCGCGCCGCAUUAGCUAGUUGGUAAGGUAACGGCUUACCAAGGCAACGAUGCGUAGCCGACCUGAGAGGGUGAUCAGCCACACUGGAACUGAGACACGGUCCAGACUCCUACGGGAGGCAGCAGUAGGGAAUCUUCCGCAAUGGGCGAAAGCUUGACGGAGCAACGCCGCGUGAGUGAUGAAGGUCUUCGGAUCGUAAAACUCUGUUAUUAGGGAAGAACAAAUGUGUAAGUAACUAUGCACGUCUUGACGGUACCUAAUCAGAAAGCCACGGCUAACUACGUG